UACGUAGGGUGCAAGCGUUAAUCGGAAUUACUGGGCGUAAAGCGUGCGCAGGCGGUUAUGUAAGACAGUUGUGAAAUCCCCGGGCUCAACCUGGGAACUGCAUCUGUGACUGCAUAGCUAGAGUACGGUAGAGGGGGAUGGAAUUCCGCGUGUAGCAGUGAAAUGCGUAGAUAUCGAGAGGAACACCAGUGGCGAAGGCGAGUCCCUGGACAGGUCCUGACGCUGAGGCACGAAAGCUAGGGGAGCAAACAGG
rnacentral:rRNA from 1 species